rnacentral:rRNA from 1 species
UACGGAGGGGACUAGCGUUGUUCGGAAUUACUGGGCGUAAAGCGCACGUAGGCGGAUUUGUAAGUCAGGGGUGAAAUCCCGGGGCUCAACCUCGGAACUGCCUUUGAUACUGCAAAUCUCGAGUCCGGAAGAGGUGAGUGGAAUUCCUAGUGUAGAGGUGAAAUUCGUAGAUAUUAGGAAGAACACCAGUGGCGAAGGCGGCUCACUGGCCCGGUACUGACGCUGAGGCGCGAAAGCGUGGGGAGCGAACGGG